rnacentral:rRNA from 1 species
AGUGAACGCUGGCGGCGUGCUUAACACAUGCAAGUCGAACGAGAACGGAUUAUAGCUUGCUAUAAUUGUCAGCUAAGUGGCGCACGGGUGAGUAAUGUAUAGGUAAUAUGCCUCUUACUAAGGGAUAACAAAUGGAAACGUUUGCUAAUACCUUAUACUCCUUAUUAACAUAAGUUAAUAAGGGAAAGAUUUAUUGAUAAGAGAUUAGCCUGUAUUGUAUCAGUUAGUUGGUGGGGUAAUGGCCUACCAAGACUAUGACACAUAACUGGUUUGAGAGGAUGAUCAGUCACACUGGAACUGAGACACGGUCCAGACUCCUACGGGAGGCAGCAGUGGGGAAUAUUGCACAAUGGACGAAAGUCUGAUGCAGCAACGCCGCGUGGAGGAUGACACAUUUCGGUGCGUAAACUCCUUUUAUAUGAGAAGAUAAUGACGGUAUUAUAUGAAUAAGCACCGGCUAACUCCGUGCCAGCAGCCGCCGUAA